rnacentral:rRNA from 1 species
GACGUAGGGUGCGAGCGUUGUCCGGAUUUAUUGGGCGUAAAGAGCUCGUAGGCGGCUCGUCGCGUCGACCGUGAAAACCCGCGGCUUAACUGCGGGCUUGCGGUUGAUACGGGCGGGCUAGAGUUCGGUAGGGGAGACUGGAAUUCCGAGUGUAGAGGUGAAAUUCGUAGAUAUUCGGAGGAACACCAGUGGCGAAGGCAGCUCUCUGGGACGGUACUGACGCUGAGACGCGAAAGCGUGGGGAGCGAACAGG